rnacentral:pre_miRNA from 1 species
AGUGAAUUACCUGGGUCAAAUGGUGGUUUCACUCCAAGUUUCUGAGGAAUCUCCAUACUGCUUUCCAGAGUGGUUGCACCAAUUUGUAGUCCCACCAGCAAU